rnacentral:rRNA from 1 species
UACUCCUACGGGAGGCAGCAGUAGGGAAUCUUCCGCAAUGGACGAAAGUCUGACGGAGCAACGCCGCGUGAGUGAUGAAGGUUUUCGGAUCGUAAAGCUCUGUUGUUAGGGAAGAACAAGUGCAAGAGUAACUGCUUGCACCUUGACGGUACCUAACCAGAAAGCCACGGCUAACUACGUGCCAGCAGCCGCGGUAAUACGUAGGUGGCAAGCGUUGUCCGGAAUUAUUGGGCGUAAAGGGCUCGCAGGCGGUUUCUUAAGUCUGAUGUGAAAGCCCCCGGCUCAACCGGGGAGGGUCAUUGGAAACUGGGAAACUUGAGUGCAGAAGAGGAGAGUGGAAUUCCACGUGUAGCGGUGAAAUGCGUAGAGAUGUGGAGGAACACCAGUGGCGAAGGCGACUCUCUGGUCUGUAACUGACGCUGAGAGCGAAAGCUACCCACUUUUCA